rnacentral:lncRNA from 1 species
CUCCUAGCGUCCUCCAAAUCUGCCGUUAUUGUGAAUGGUUGCCCGGGUCCUUGGAUUAACUGCAAGCGAGGACUGAGGCAGGGGGACCCUCUGUCCCCAUACCUGUUUCUUCUGGUGGCUGAGACUCUACAACGUAUGAUCAAUAAAGCAGAUGAAAUCAGACAUCCAACGGAAGGCAACCUCCCCUGUGCUGUCCUUCAGUACGCCGAUGAUACCCUGAUUGUGUUCAGAGCUGAAGCCUCGGCAGCAAUCAAAUUGAAGGAAAUCCUGGAUCAGUUUGCAGCCAUGUCUGGCUUGCACAUUAACUUCAGCAAGAGCACUCUGGUACCGAUUCAUGCAGACGCCCGGUUGGUGCAACAAUGUGUUCAGGUGCUGGGCUGCAGUGAGGGCUCCUUCCCGCAGCAGUACUUGGGACUUCCGCUAUCGGCCAACAAGCUGCCUGUUUCUGCCUUCAACAUAUAUAUACAAAAAACCGACAAGUUUCUUGCAUCCUGGCAGGCUGACCUGUUAAACCCUAUGGGAAGGCUUGUCUUGGUCAAUUCGGUUCUUGACUCAAUCCUUGUCUACUUGAUGAGCUCAGCUUCCUGCGACAGCAGUGCACAGCAUGGAUAAGAAAAGGAGAGCAUUCCUCUGGUCUGGGGAUAAGGCGGGAAUCGCGACACCGGCGAACUGCCUGGUUGCCUGGACAAGUGUCUGCAGCCCCAGGGAGUGCGGCGGCCUGGGAGUCAGGGACUUGGGGGUCCAAAACAUCUGUCUUCUACUGAAACUGCUUCACAGACUGCAUUGCCCCCAAUCUUCCGCAUGGGCUGAAUGGGUGCAGCGUCGGGCUUCAAUAUCAACUCUGACCGGUGAACUGCAUGGGGAUCACUGGCAGACCUUGCGAUCCAUCAUCCCUCUAUACCAGGCGAUCACCACUGUUCAAGUCGGCGAUGGAAAAUGCACCUCGUUCUGGUACGAUGUCUGGAACGACAGUGACGAAGCUCUGGCUGAUAGGUUCCCUGCACUUCUGUCACAUUGCUCUUCCAAACAUGCCACGCUUUGGGAGAUCAAAUCCUCGGGCCUACAGUCUGCUUUGGUCCCCCGUCUCUCAACAGCAGCGGAAAAUGAGCGGCAACUGGUGCUUCAGGUCAUCGAAGAAACGGCCUUAUCUGAAACCCAUGACAAGAGGAUCUCACCUUUCAUCAGGCCUGAUAACAGCCUUGACAGCGGUGCACUCUACAAGAUGAUCAAAGCUAGAGGCCAGGGAGACAGCCCGCGGGCAACCUUCGUUUGGCAGAACCUGGCUCCGCCGAGAGUGCGACUGUUUUUGUGGCUACUAACACAACGGAGAAUUCAGUGUCGUUCGGUGUUACAAAGAAAAGGCAUUGUUGAUUCCGCAACUUGUGAGGUCUGCAGUGCUGCGGACGAAACGCCUGAACAUAUCAUCCAUGGUUGUGCUCUCGGCCGAGACGUUUGGGCGAGCUUGAACCUACAGUCCAUAGUCUCAGUGGACAUGGGCGAGCUUCACUCAUUCAAAGGUCAUCCUUCGAACUAGAUUUCAGAGCUACCUUCCUUCCUGACCUUGGUUUGCUGGAACAUCUGGAAGGCAAGGAAUGCGAAAAUCUUCAGGAACCAAGCUCAAACGGUACAUCAUGUGCUUCAGGAAUGCAUCUCCGCUUCCAUUCUGUGGAGGCACAGAUUUCCAAUGAAGAAAAGAAUCGUCUCCGACCAGUGGUGCUCCAUUCUACAAAUGGCCAGAGCAGGGCUUACCUAAUUCCGGGGCUUAUACAAAAGCAAGGAGAUGGCUGUCAUCUUCUGUUUCCUGUCUUCCUCCAACUUGUUUCCUCUGCUUCUUCGAUAGCUCUCACUAGCUCUAGUUGGUUUUACUCUAGCAACAAACGUUGCUCUGCAUCUGUAACAACACAAUCGUGCGAGCCGAUUCUGGGCUAAAAUAAUUUUAAACAGGUGGGGAACGUCUCCCCCCCGUUGACCGUUAAAAAAAAAGCCAGAAAAAGACUUUAUGUUUGUGUUGGCAGCAUGAUCUCCAGGUCCACUUAAAGACAGGGUGAACAUUACAAGUUUCCAUUAGAUGCUUGUAAGCUUUUGACGAAGAAUAAGAAUUAGAGGCCCAAAUGUAAUUCCAGAUAUCACUAUCCUCAGACUCUGGUAAACUCUGGAUAGCAGAUUCUAGCAAAAAGUAUUCUUUCAAAAAAAACUAAGGGCCAAGUAGCUUUAGAAUUCCCUCUAUUAUUACUGCCAGCCCCUUUCCAAAGACAGUUUUUCCUAUAUUUAUCUAUCUGACCUAUCACAGUGUCUUGUAAAGCAAAGGUGCACAUGAAAAAGGUUGGAAGUGCAGUGAAAACUGAAUUCGUUAUCUAGAGCCUUCCAACUAAAGAAAGAAAAAUGAAGGUCCUAACAAACCUUUUUCACAUCUUGAGAUGAGUGGUAAGUAAUCAUUGGUCCUUGUCUUGGUGGAGCCCAAAGGCAAACCAAGAUAAGUAAAAGGCAUACUUCCAGUAGAACACCCAUAGGUGAGAGCAAGAUGCUUUAGUUUCUCAGGGCUCAUGUUUAUGAUAAUCAUCAAUGACUUCUUGAAAUUAACUUUCGGUCCAGUUGAGAGAGUAAAAGAAUUCAGGAGAGCCUUCAUGACAAAAAGUUGCCUUCCACAUCCUCCAAGAAUAGUUAAUGUAUCGUCAGCUAGUGUAAGAUGGGGAAAUCUAAGGAAUACUGAAGGCGAACUCGCAAAUUGAGAAGUGCUUGUUCUUUGGCUCUAUUAAUUAUAUACUGCAGCAAGCACAAAUAGGAGGGGGGAAAGAGAAUCCACUUGUCUCACACCCUCUUGCAAUGAGAUUGUUUUCGACUUCUGCGAGUAUAUAGUCCAUCAUAUAGUGCUACUGGACCUGUUCUCGUACUCGGGUUAUGUACCUUUGUUUGCUUUCCUCUUAAUGAAAAACGGGCACCAACCCGAUAAAAAAAAGCAGGAAUAAAAUUACUACUCACGACUAAUUAAAAUUCCUGAUUUUUGCGUGACCGCACUCUCUCUUCAUUUCGAACACAAUACUCAAUACCCGCAUAGAUAAUCUACAAUAUUUAUCCUCAUGUAAUAAAUUUAUUAUUAAUUAUUCAAGGUUGUUUGUUCCCAGCCAUAAUUUGCCACAGCAAACUUCAGACAAUUAUGGCUAAAAUAUUUGGAGCCACGUUUUACCAUGCCUACGGAAAUUGUCACUUUUUUCUUUCUUUUUUUUCUCUAUGACACGUGGAUCCCACAAAAGUCUUACCAGUCAAACUAUCUAAGAUGAAGUGUGUGGCUAGCUAGAAACCAAACAUCCCCUAAAGUCUAUCAUCCCAUACUCCGGCACGACGUAGAAUGUCAGGUUAUAUAAGUAUUACAAUUUUCGUUCAUAAAAAAAAUGUAAGUAUUACAAUUUUUGUGGAUAACUUUAGUAGGUAAAAUUAAGUUAAGUUGAUUCUUUACUCUCUUGUUUCCUAAUUGUUAGGGCCAUAUGCCCUUCAUGGGUUCUCCUGUUCAUUUUGCUAACCCAUGCUCGGCUUGACAAUACUCACAACUUACACUCUAUUUGGCACUGCUCCAAUUUACUAAUGGAGCUAUCUUUUUAGCUUCAGCCUUACGACCAGCUCUGCUGAUGGAGCUGAAGUUAUUUUGAUUACCUAUUUGGUAAAACAACUCCCAUGUUAGAAAAAAAAACAAAAUAACCAUAAUAUUCUUCUCUACAUUUUUUCUCAUAUUUUCUCCUCUAUUUCCUUCCUCUCUAAUCGACUCGACCCUUCCUCUAAGCACGGCCAUCUUCUUCAUCACAAAAUGGGCAACGGCGCCCGCGAGCUCCCUGACAACCUAUGCCUACUUGUGUGCGCCACGGCGGCUACACCCGCACGUCGUGCUCCAGCAAACAACUCGUUGCUCGGAACAUACCACCAGAGAUCUGGAGCAUCAAGAAGCUGGAAAUGUUUGUUGUGGAGAUGAACAACCUCACGGGACAUCUGGUGGUUGACGGCUUUGAGGCGAUGAGCUUGAUCGUUACAGCAUCUCCAAUGGUAGGAACCCUAAACUACUUAUUGGCUACAAAACUUUUUUUGAGGGUUUUCAAAGGCUCUAUCUCUAGCAGAAUGAGAAAAAUCUCAUUCUCAGGCCUUGUUUACUUCCCCAAAUAUUUUGCAAAAUAUUCAGGAUUCUCCGUCACAUCGAAUCUUUCGGCACAUGCAUGGAGCAUUAAAUAUAGAUAAAAAAAUAACUAAUUGUAUAGUUCGUAUGUAAUUUGUGAGACGAAUAUUUUGAGUCUAGUUAGUCCAUAAUUGGACAACAAUUAUCAAAUACAAACAAAAAUACUACAGUAGCAUUUUGCAAAAAAAAAAUCAAGAAGUAAACAAGGCCUCAAUAUAUUGUUUAAUAUGUGGUGUGUACUUGUCAUUCUAACUUCCCCACUGCUUCUUUUUCUCCCUAUAAUCUGAGCGACAUUGACAUCCGCCGUCACCACGACUCCUCCGUCGCUCCUCUCCCCACUGACUUCUUUAUUUCUCCCUUCCACUCCUAUCAACGCAUCCACCCCUCCUCUUCCUAUCCCACUACUUGAAGACUCCUCCCAUCACUCAAGUUGCAGCAAAGGCCUUCUUCCCUGGCCCCAGUCAUGGCACCCGCGGCUAACUCCUCCCCUACCAGCGGCCUAUUUCUCUCCCUAGCGACGUAUGGCAUCACCACCGCAAGUGGAUCUGGUGCGGCAUGAUGCGGAGGAGCUCCUCCAUCUCCAUCGCCAGCACCGCGAGCCUACCAGCACCAACAGCGUACGACACCACCAUCGCUCCUAGACCUAGCGCGGCAGUUGGAGCUCACAUCAAAAAUCUCAGGCAUUGGCGGGAGAGAGAUUUCCCUUGUCUUUGAGGGGUUGGAAGAUGGUUUUCAAGGUACUAAGGAAAAAAAAUCUCAUUGGGAUGCGAAUGGGGAUCUACUGGAGCUCUCAAAUCCAUCAAAAUAUAGGUUUUUCUAUCUACUGGAGCUCUCAAAUCCUUCAAAAUACAGGUUUUUCUCGUUGGGGAUAGGAAUUAGUGUACUGCUGAAGAUGCUCUUAUCUCCAUCUUAAAAGAACCACCUUACUGGUACCAUCCUGGAAACCUUCGGUCACUUGAAGAACCUCGCUGACUUAUACCUUACAGCAACAACUUCAUCGGUGAGAUACCCGUGAGCAUCGAUCGGUUACCGUCAUUCAAUAACAGGCUUCCUGGUAUGCUCCCGGAAAAACUCGGCAAGUACUCACCAGUAUUUUCAGCCAUGGCUUUUCAAACCAGCGAGUCAUGACUGAAAAUACUGUUUACUGAUUUGUUAUAAAAGAAAAACAGAAAAAAUACGGCAUAUAAAACAAGCAAACAGGCUUCGCUACUCACUGCAUCAAGCAACCGCUUGAAUGGCUCCAUCCCACUGAAGCCUCGCUCGCUGUGCCUCUGAAAUAUCUAAUCCUAGACAGCAACCAGCUCUCCGGCGACAUACCAACAGAUUUGGCGAUGGCACACCAUUGCUUAAGCAACUGAAGCUGGCCAACAAAAAACUCUCCGGGAGGAUCUGUUAAGCUAAUCUGCAGAAGCUCCGUCGACGUACCAACUUCCCAGGUGACUAUGUACGCUUGAGCACAAAUAUUUUACACGAUGAUCAUCCUAAUCUCUUUUACACCUUGUAAUCUUCACUGUUACCAUAUAAAUUGCCUUUCAGAAGUCCAGAUCCCUAAAUUGGGGACGAUUUGAGAUGCGUGACGACAUGGACCUAACCUAACCUGUGCAAUAAUGUUACUACUACCCUAUAGAUGGUGAUAAACCAAAAGGAUCAAUUAAAAAAUGCUAUACUGCAGUGCAGGUCAUCAACCGACUCUUUCAAAUCAGUUCAUGCCCCAACAGUCUUUUGCUUCUUGGCGGUAUUAAUAUAGGGCCGCAGCACAAACUCGCUUUGCGCUUCAUUUUGUUCCACAGCUCCUAGUUUGAUCUGUCAGGCAAGCGCGAUAAACAUGUUAGUACCAGCAACCAGUAUUUGUGCCUCAGAAAAUGUGGUAAUGACCAGAUGCCGAGUGUUCCUGAUACCUGGUACAGCCGCAACUCAAAACGAGGACCAACCUCCUUCAACUCCAUCGAUCCGGGGCCGCCAGAUUUUUCGUAUACAUGAUGCCUUGCAUAUAACAAAACAAAAGGAGCUGUCAGUCAUAUAUGCAUAAAAGCUUCUCAGGAAGCAGAGCACAUACACAGUUACACACUAGUGCAUGACAGAAAUAUUGUACCUGAAAGAUAUGUACUCGUCUCUGUUGGCAAAAGUAAUUAUUCGCUUUGAAUCUGGCUUUGGCAUAAGAAAGAGGUGCUUGAGAAUAGUGGCAGUCCUUUCACCAACCUAGAAUACAAAUAGCAAGUUACCAAACUGUCAUGAACAAAGAUAGAAUACAAGGAUGGCUAACCUCUGCAGAAAACAAAAAAACAAGCUACUCUCCCUAGUAAAACUCUAAAGAGUGUUUAAGUUCCUACAAUCCAAUCUAAGUACUCUAGCAAUCAACCAGAGCCCAGAAUGCCUCCCGCCAACAUCAUCCAAAUUUGAGAUUUCUACAUGCUAACUCAAGCAGACAGAAAGUGAUGGUCAGAUCCAUAUUUGAGAUUUCUGCAUGCAAAAUCAAGCAAACAGAGAGCGAUGGUCAGAUGUCAAGUGUUUCAAGCUAAAUCAAGCAGUAUAUGUAAGUGGAGAUGCUCAGCUUAGAAGGUUUGAAUGGACUGAGAGUAGUCUUCACAGUAGUAACUAACUACAUCUCACGUUAAUGGUUAACAAGAAAAACAUCAUCAAAACCUGAAUUCUGCUCAUAUAUUAGGAUUCACAUGCAAUCCUAUCAAAUUCAGAACCCAACAAACCAGACCCCCACCUAACAAAAGGACAAGAAAUAAAAGGAAAAGUAAAACAUAUCAAAUACAACUGAUAGUGGAGAUUCUCUUGUUCAAAAAAAAGGUGGAAAUUCUCAGUCUUUGAAUCAUGAAUGGAUUCAAGUGUCAUCAAUGGAAAAAAUGUCUCAGGUUAACGAGAAAGACAUCACUGCACAACCCACAACACUGAAACAAGAAUGAAUAGCAAGCACAUCACAUUCACAGGUUAAUGAGACAAAUAUCAUCACAACAUAGGAGUUCUGUGGAUAUAUUAGGAUUCACAUGCAAGAUGUAACUCUGUUCAAUUUGAACAAAGAUUGACAGAACUAAACGGAGACGCCAAAAAAAAAUAGAACAAGGACAGAGAAACAUAGCAAACAAGUGACAGUGGAGGUUCUGAGCCUUGAGUUAUGAAUGGAUUUAGGUGUCUUUCAUGGAAUAAAGAUGUAUCAGGUUAACAAGAAAGUCAUCAUUGCAACGUCCCAAUAUUGUAAAAUAGGCAUGCACAUGCUGGGAUGCAGCAAGGCACAAAAGCGAAUGAAAAAGAUGGUUACAAAAGAGUGACACCCUCAACUUGUUAUAUCUUCAACAAUACCAAUGCUGCUCAGUUAUAGUUUUUGAAUGGAUAGAUGCUAUCCUCAUAGUAUGUCUCAGGUUAACGAGAAGUCCAUCAUGGCAGCCAUACAAAGCACUAAGCAAACUACAAACUGUAAUGUGAACACUUGCUUGCACUUAAACAAAGUUAACGUCAUGUUUUAUGUGACCAGGAAUGUAUUUUAGAAUGGAACUAUUGAGAAAUUAACCAAUGUACAACAUAGACAAGUCAACAAAACAACAAACUUGCUUGGAAACAGCAGCGGAAGCAGAAAAUGAAGCAAACAAAGCAGUAGCAGCAGCAGAUUAUGGAACUGGAGGUGCUCAGCAUCUUAUUAUUCAAAUCAUCAUCAUCAUAGUAGCAAUGUAUGCUUAACAAGAAGCUGUCAAUGGGAGGGAGGGAUGCAUGCAUGGAUAGAUAGAUACAUAUAUAUAUAUAUACACACACACAAACACACAAAGAGUGUGUUAGAGAGAGAGAGAGAGAGAGGAGAAUUCUUGAAAAGAUAUCAUCACAGCAGCCUCCAGUUCAUAAUGACUGCAUGGAUAUCCUCCUAAUAAUGGACAUGGAUUCCAUGCAAGUAAGCAAAAAGAUAAACAAAAACACCAUGGUAACCACUGCCACCACCACGCCUCACCAUAACCAGCCCCACAGACACUUCAUCGUAAGUAUGAAGUUGUUUACCCUGCUAUGGAAAGGCGUGACUUUUCAAGAACACAUAGUGAACAGGUCACCAUGACAACAAUGAUAAGGCAUGAAGGCAAAACGAUCCUGUCAGAACCCAACAAACCAGACCCCCACCCAACAAAAAAGACAUGAAAAUAGAAGGAAAAGCAAAACAUCAAGGCCAAGUGAAAGUGGAGAUUCUCAGUCUUUGAGAUAUGAAUGGAUUUAAGUGUCUUUCAUGGAAAGAACGUCUCAGGUUAACGAGAAAGACAUCAUUGAAAACUUCCAACAUUGUAAAAUAGCCUUGAGUUAUGAAUGGCCGAAUGGGUUAGGUGUCUUUCAUGGAAUAAAGAUGUAUCAAGUUAACAAGAAAGACAUCAUUGAAACCUUCCAACAUUGUAAAAUAGGCAUGUACAUGCUGGGAUGCAGCAAGGCACAAAAGGCAAAUUAAAAGAUGGUUACAAAAGUGUGCGACACUCUCAACUUGUUAUGUAUUCGGAUAAUAUCGAUGCUGCUCAGUUAUAGUUUUUGAAUGGAUAGAUGCUAUCCUCAUAGUAUGUCUCAGGUUAACGAGAAGUCCAUCAUGACAGCCACACAAACUGUAAGCAAACUACAAACUGUAAUGUGAACAUUUGCUUGCACUUAACAUGAUGUUUGAUGUGACCAGCACUAUAUUUUGGAAUGGGACUAUUGUUAAAUUAACCAAUCUACAACAUAGGCAAAUCAACAAAACAAGAAACUUAGCUUGGAAACAGCAUCGGAAGCAGAAAAUGUAGAAAGGAAUAACGCAAUAGCAGCAGCAGAUUAUGGAACUGGAGGUGCUCAGCAGCUUAUUAUUCAAAUGAAUAUCAUCAUCAUACUAGCAGUGUAUGCUUAACAAGUAGGUCUCAAUGGGAGAGAGGGAGGGAUAGAUUGGUAAUAUAGUGUAUAUCUAGGUGCAUAGCAAAAGCUAUGUAUCUAGAAAAGCCGAAAUGACUUAUAAUUUGGAAUGGAGGGGGUAUACAUGCGCACGCGCACGCGCACACACACAGACAGACAGACAGACAGACAGACAGACAGACAGACAGAGAGAGAGAGAGAGAGAGAGAGAGAGAGGUUCUUGGAAAGGCUAUCAUCAUGGCAGCCUCCAGUUCCUAAUGGUUGCAUGGAUUUACAUGCCAGUAAGGAAUAAACAAAUAAGAAAAAAAAACACCAUGGUAACCACUGCCACCACCACGCCCCGCCAUCACCAACCCCACACACACCAGAAUUUUCAUUGCAGGUAUGAAGUUGUUUACCUUGCUAUGAAAGUGCGUAACUUUCAAGCACACAUAGUGAACAGCUCACCAUGACAACAAAGAUAAGGUAUGAGGACAAAGCAGUUAAUUGCUUCCAUGAAACAGUGUGUGUAUGAUUUACCUGAGUUGAGAAGUUGUCAAGUACUAAAUGGGGGUAUGCUUCUGACAUUUUUCCCAUUGCCUUCCUGCCUCUAAUAUCAUGUCGUGUCACCUGACCACAACAACAAAAACUAAGGAUAUAACCGAGUCUGAGCAAUCAUUUUGUACACUUGUGCUACACAACAUCUCAGCAUAUAUAUACUUCCAAAAAGGUUAAGCACACCUACCACAUUGAGCAACCCGAAGUAUGCAGUUGGACCAUUCGGUAGAUGGGAGACGAUCAAACCAUCAGGUUGACCACGAUGUUCAUGGACCAAAAUAAGAUCUGUGAUAUUAUGUGACCGGCAUGACUCAACGAUUUCUGAUAUGACCUGCAGAUCAGUAAAAAGUGAAGAACACCUAAUUGUGCACAGCAAUAUGUUCAUUCAUUUACUACCUAUAUAAAAAUCAUGGACAACAAGUUCUAAUUUCUUGCAAGCAAUGCAUAGCAAGUACUGGAUAUGGUAUAAACAAAAGAACAAUAUCAUGGUAACUGCUGCUGCAAUAUACCUGGCCACCACGGUUCAUUCUCUGUGACAUGGGAAAGACAACCUUCAGCUCCUAGGAAGAGAACCAGAACGGGCGGUUAGCUGAAUGCAAUGCACCAUUUGGACUUACGGAAAGGAUCCAAAAGUUUCCAGGACAGCAGAAAUACCUUAACAAACUGAGUUAGCGGCGCGCUGGGAUUGCGAGACGUGGUGAAUAGUAUCUUGGGCUCCCGAACUGAGGCAGUAGCGUACUCGUUAUCGGCCAUGCUCUUAGGAACUGUAGCACCCAAUCACCGAUCCAAACAACCAAACAACGGAACAACACACGUUAGACAGAUCUCCCUACAAACAAACGUAAAAGAGCAAGGAGACUGCAUUACACUCGCUCGAGCAAAAAGAAGCCAUGGGAUGGAGGGAGGGGGUACGGGAACAACACGCACCUCGAGUCUCCUGGUCCUCGAGGUCGAUCUGCCUCCGCAGCUCGCGCACCUCGUUGCGGAGCUCGGUGGGGAUGGGCUUGCCCUCCUCGAGCGCCGCCCGGAUGCGGCGCUUCUUCUGGAACAGCGCCCGCUGGGAGGCCUCGCCGCUCUUGGAGUGCAGGUACUGCCGCCGGUCGCGCAUACGCCGCCGUAUCAUCUUCGCUUCCCACCUCCUCCACAACGCUUGCGCAGGGCCAGACUCGGCAAAACCCUAGGCGUAGGGUUCUUCUCCGGCGUAGGCGUCGGCGGCGGGGCCGGGGGCCGGCGCUCCUCGACAUAAUAGCUACCAAUGUGGGCCUAUAUGGGCUUGCACGACUGGGCCCGUUUGCUCUUUGCUAGGGCCUCGGGAGCAUCUCCAUGGCUGGAAAAAAACAGAGGAUUUUGGGUUGCAAAUUUUAUGGGCCAACAAAAAAAAACUUUUCUAGUCUCCUAUAUAUUUGGGGAAAAAAGUCUUAUUUUCCUCUCUAAGAGCAUCUCCAAGGGCUUUCCAUUCUCAGCUUUGCAUUUCAGGGGAUUUGCAAAGUUGCAAAUGAGUUUGCAAAGUUCCUAAAGGGGGGAUCUCCAACCGUUUUGCAUUCUCAUCAAGUCCUUUCCCGAAAAUUUUUCCCACGCGCCAUCCGGCCAAAAAAUUUCGCGCGCAGUGCCAGAUCGCGAUGAAGAUGUUGUGUGGCAGCGGCGAAGGGAGCUGUCGCGCGAUGAAGAAGCCGAGCGAUGAAGAAGCCGCGCGAUGAAGAAGUCGCGUGGCGGCAGCGGAGGGAGAUCGCGGGGGGGAGAUAAAUCGCGCGGGAGCCCUUUGGCGCGCCGAGUCGAGCAACCGCGAUGCCGUCCAAAAUAUUUCGCGCGAGGGGACCGAGCGGCCUACGUGGCGGACCGAAUUCCUUGCGAAUCCCAAAUGCAAAGCCUUGAGGAGGUUUGCAUAUAUGCAAAGUUUCCACCUCUAUUUGCAAACCUUACCAAAUUGCAAACCUCAUUUGCAAAGCCAUUGGAGAGGUGUUUUCUACUCUUUUUUGCAAAUUGGGCAAUGCAAAGUUGAUUUGCAAAGCCCUUGGAGAUGCUCUAAGAGCAUCUCCAAGGGAUUUUGCAAAUGAAUUUUGCAUUUGGUGUUGUUUGUAAAGUCCCAAACUCAUUUGCAAAGUGUAAAAAUAUUCCAACUCCAAGGGAUUUUGCAUUUAGACUUGGCAAACCUAAAGUGUGGACCUCACCCCCGAAUUUUUUUUUCACCGAUCGCGCCCGCGUGUUUGUUUCCUUCGCGCCAUUUUGACGUACGUCGUGCGUGCCAGUCGCCGCCCGGGCCAGGCGCCGCCAGUUGCCGCCCAGCCCAGGUCUUCGCGCCAAUCGCCGCCCCGCCCAGGCCGCGUUCGUCGUUCACGUCGGUUCGCGGACGGUGGCCACGCGCGGCAGCUGGAGGGAGGGCGGGCGCGCGCGGCAAGGAGGGCGGACGGGCGUAGAGAAAUCGCGCGGGGUGGGAGGGGGGCGGGGGGACGGAGUCCGACAUGAAAGGCCGAAAUUGUAGAUGCAAAGUGGUGGAAAGGUUUGCAUAUAUGCAAAGCCUCAACCUCUAUUUGCAAAGUUAACCAAAUUGCAAACCUUAUUUGCAAAACCAUUGGAGGGGUAUUUUCUACUCUUUUUUGCAAAUAGGGCAAUGCAAAAUUUAUUUGCAAAGCCCUUGGAGAUGCUCUAACUUUCACGAUAGUUCGUUUUUUUUCUCUCACAACUUCAAAACCGGUCACACCACCUCCUUAACUUUUUAAACCAUGUAUUUUACCUUUCUAGAGCAGUUUUAAAGGCGGUUUUGCUAUAGUAAAUAUUGGUUUUGCUACAAUGAUGUUGGUUUUGUCUUUUUUAUUAUUUAUUUCGGCUAAAUCUUUAAAAAUCAUAUAAAUCACAGGAAAAUCACAAAAUAGAUAACCUAAUUUUGUAGAUCUACACAGUGAACCUAUAAUAUGGUAUGCUUUAGUACAAAGUUUUUCUAUGAAGGUUUUAUCUUUUUCUUUUAUAUUUAUUUCAGCUAAAUUUUUAAAAAUUCAUAGUAAAUCACAGAAAAAUUAUAAAUUAAAAAAUCUAAUUUUGUUAGACUCCACAUGAACAUAUCUGCACAGUAAAUAUAUAAUAUGGUAUGCUUUAGUACAAAUUUUUUGUUAUAACUUUAUAUCAAUAUUUUUCUGUAGUUAAUUGAAAUAAUUCAAAAUUGCACCUUCUAUAAUUAUUUUGUUGUACUAAAUCAUAUCAUAUUAUAUGUUUACUAUGUAUAUCUAUCCAUGUGGAGUCCAACAAAAUUAGAUUUUCUUUUUUAUGAUUUUCUGUGAUUUACUAUGAUUUCACAUAUUCAGCAAAAAACUAUACCUAAAACAGGUAAAAUUUCCGCUAAUCUUUUGGUCUGGAUUUUUUUGGUCUGCCCACUCUAAUCAGCUAUGUCCCAUGCUCAAAAGUCUCCUCUGAUAAUGGACUUCAAUCUCCUCUCCUCUCCUUCCCAAAAUUGAAUCCAAACUGCAUACGACACGGACCUAGAACCGAACCAAACCAAAUGUGGAUUCAAAAUCGAGUCCAAAAUAAAAUCACGUACCAAAUGAAGUCCAAAACAAAUUGCAUGCCAAAUCUAUGAAAACCAUACCAAAUAAAAGACUACCAACAAAGAAAUCAUGGGAGCAUAGCGAUGCCGAGGCAAACCAUGCCAUCGUAGCCGUAGAUGGAGCUCGGGCGACCACGACCGCCGCCGCGGAUGCCCUGACGGCACGACCGCUCUUCCUCCUCCCCAGUCGCGCGUCAGGCUCUCCUCACUAGCACGGCCGCGUGACCCAUGCUCUGCCGUCUAACGCCGCCCUUCGUCCUCCUCCCCAGUGGCGCGCUGGGCCCCUCCUCGUCGGCACACCCACCCUCCACCUCCACCACACCGGAGAGCCCACGCGCCCGAAGCUCUGGCGAGCGCCCCACCCUCUACGCUGGCGCAGCCCGGAGGCUGUGCGCUUCUGCUGCGGCACCUCCGUAUCUUACCUGCAAAGCAAACGCCUUGAAACAUCUUGGAGCCAUGGGCCUCGGUUGCUGGACCUGCCUGUACGCAUGCGCCAUGGCCCGAAAACCAGAUGAUACCCUGAGCGGGCCGCCAAUGAGGCCUAAUACUAGCCCGUAGAGAGAGAAAGAGAGAAAAUAAAAGAAAGGGUAUUAUGGGUAUUUUAUGUUUUUACCUAGCAUAAUAAGGAGCUUUUUUUACCAAAUGUUUUACCAAAACAUGGUCAUCUCUAUUACUGUAGCUGCUUGUGGAGUUGAAGUAAAAAAUUGCUUCACUGGUAUAAAAUGUUUAUACCAAUUAUGUGUUAUUGGUCUUGAUCGGCUUUUUAACAAAAGAUGCAAUGUUUAUACCCUAACUAAAUUUACUGGUAUGUAGUAUGCUCAAUUGCAUUUGUUGAUUCUUUAAUGUUAUAAUAGGAAGUAGAAGUGAAAAUAUAUGCCCAUGACCCUUUGUGCGCUAUGUCAUAGAUGCAAUUGAUUACUUAAGUGGAAUAAAACAUAUUGAUGCAAAUUUAUUUACAUGCGUAUUUAUAACAUAAUGUUGAGUGCAAUAAAAUAUAAUGAUGUAAAUAAAAAAAUAUAGCUUUAAAGAUAAAACAACACAUACAUAUUAAGGCUUUGGGUGACGCCAUAUCUUUUCUCUCAUUACAAUGCACGGAUAUUUUUGCUAGUAAACAAAAAAAGAAGAAGACAAAACCUUCAUAGCAAAAACUUUAUAUUAAAGUAUGCUAUAUUAUAUGUUCACUAUAUAGAUCUACGUCCAACUAAAUAACCAAGAUGUCAUUAUUGCUUGCGUUGAAGAACUACUAGCUUGAGUAGUAGUUUUACCUUAACUCUUUUGCAGGCUACCGAUGUUGUAUGCCUCCAUUGCUAGUGCCCUCAUGUGCUCGCUUGUCCUCGGUACAAAAUACAUUGGAUAUAAAGUAACUAUAAGACAAACUAUUUUAGGUUCAAUAACUACUUUCUUAAUAGAGAAAAUUACCAACAGAUAUGAUGGUAAAUAAGUCAAAUAUAUUUCAUUCUAAAUAAGUACACUAAAAAUAUAUUUCAUGACAUGUGCACAAUUUAAUUUUGGUAUCAUAAAUAUUUGUAUUUUUAAAGUUGACUUUUUUCAUAUAGAUGUUGUUGCUUUUAUUUUGAUGUGGUGAAGGAUCUUUGACUCUGAGACUUGUCUUUGAAUACUUGAUACUCCAGUAAAUAAAUAACGAAAGGAGUAGUAAUCCAGUAAAUCUCAGGGAACGCGAUGUAUUAAAUGAGCACGCACUCUUUGACAGCUAGCAUUAUUGAUUGUAUACGAGUCCCUGAACGAGUACAAAUACUAGUCCGACGGAGAGCUUGGCAAUGCAAGCAGCUUGCCAAAACCCCUAUCACUCCUAGAAAAACUCGAAACGGCCGUUCGAGAAAUCCUUGCAGGGGGAUCGAUCGGAUCCAGAGGCCGGCCGCCGCGCCGGCGGGAGAGAUCGACGGCGACGUCGGACCGAGAUACUAGUAGAACAUAGCUGCGUGCGGUUAGCAGCCAUGCUCUUGGCCUACGUCCUCAUCUUCCUCCUCCAACUCUCCGCCUCUACCUGCUGCUAUGCCACCAGCCGGAACCAACACCUCCUCUUCGCUGGUCGCGCCACCGCCCUUUUGCCGCCGGCGGCGGCGAUCCAUCAUCACCAUCACCAUCGCCACACCGCCAAGCAGGCGGCAGAGGUACCCACAUGCAUGCACGCCGACGCCGAUUGCAUGCAGCUCGAUCAUCGUUCUAUACUUGCUCUCCUCCGAUCCCGACACGAUUUUGAUCUCGACCAGGCGCGCGCGCACGCGAUUGUUGUUGAUAUGCAGGUUCUGUCCGACUACAACGACGUGCGGCGGCAUUACCACCCUGCGAUGAUGGCGCGGUGGGGAGUAGGGGCACCGCCGCGGCCGCCGUCGACGUCGCCCAGCGUGGAGUUGUUGGCUGGAGUCGGAGGCUCGUCGUCGCCGCCGCCGCCGCCCUCGUUGUCCGCCGUGGAGCCUAACGCCGUCGAAGGCGCGCCACCGCCACCGCCGCCGCUGAUGCCGCCAGCAGGGAAGCAGGAAACCAGCGCGGCGAUGGAGCCGUCACCCUCGCUGCCACACGGCGAGGGGGCGUCGUCGUCGGACGCCUCUGAGAUGGGGCAUGAGGAGAGCCCGAGCGGCGACGACGUGGACGUGGACGCGGACUACGACGGGCCCAUGACGCACCCUCCCUCGCAUAACUAGUCCGGUUUCCGGUCUGCUCCGGCUCCGGCUCCGGCCGGCCGGCCCUUACCACAUGCAUGAUCGAAUCCAUGGCAGCAGACGAUGAUGGCGAUCAGUUUUCGGGCAGGCAUGCAUACGCGCGGAUCGGCAGAUGCAUAUACAUAUAUGCGCAUGCGUGUGUGAUCUUGCUUAUAUUAGUUAUUUGGUUGCAUUAGCUUCGCUAGUUAAGGUAUAUGAAUCUAGUUAGCAAUUAGUAUGAUCAGUAUAUGUAUAUAAAGCGCUCCGUAUAUAGCCCUCACUCUAAAAUUUUGUAUAUGGUGUUGAUUUUGGAAUAGUCAACGUCGUAUAAAAAAAAUUGGAGAGAGAAGUCAUAUAAAAGUGCAUGCUUGAGUUUCUCCAUGCAUAUGCAAUGCAGUCAUUAGCGGAGCCAGAAUUUUUUAGAGCUCGGACAGUUUUUAUUAUGUAAAAAUAUUUAGCUAGAAAAUUAUAUUGUUCUACUUUGACAGUAAGAUAUUUUCCCUUUAAACUUUGGCAGCGAGCCCGGCAGGCUGCCCGGGGUGGCCGGACGGUGGCUCCGCCACUGAAUGCAGUUGUUGGGUUGGUUUCUACUAUAUCUUUGCUCUCUUGUUGAAAGGUCUAUCAACCAUACCAGACUGAAUAUAGGAGGACCAAUCAUACUUCUAUCAAUCUAGCUCCUUAUCGUUUGUACUAAUAAAAACUAGGGCUUGGUGUUUCGAGCAUGACAGAGUUCAUUUUGUUUCUUUUUAAUGCAUUAUGUUUGUAUAUACUUGUACUUAACAAGGCAAAUUUGUGGUUGUUAAUCAUCAAUUGACUAAGUGAGAUCAUGGUUAAACUGACCUGUUGGCUCUCUUGAAACAUUCAGGAUUACUAUUCCCUCUGUUCCAAAAUGAUAAACAUGUUUUUGAUUAUAAAAAAGUCAAAUAUGAUAGGUUUUGACCAUUGAUUUCUCAUCAUACUAUAGGUUAUCAUUUACUACUAACGAAUCAAUAUCAUCACACACCCACUACAAGUCUAUUGAUACAAGUUUCUGUCCUAAAUUUGUUAUUUGAAUAGUGAUAUUCGUUAAUGUUUGUAUUAAGUUGACCUUUUGAGUACAAAACACGGUUAUCAUUCCAGGACGCACUAGUAUUCAUGAAUAAAUACUGAGUCAAAAGAUCCUGGUUUCAAUAAAAAAAAUCUUUUUUAACAUUAUGGAUUAUUCCUUCCGUCAAUUCUCAUUUUUUUAAAGUCAAACUGUUUGAACUUUAACUAAAUUUAUAUAAAAAAUACUAACAUUUAUGAUAUAAAAUAAGUUUUAUUAGUUUAGUUACAGAAUAUAUUUUUAUAAUAAAAAAUUUGUGGUACUCCCUCCGUACCUGAUUUAAUAGACGUCCUGGCCAGCAUUAAGAUUGACGUUCGCAGGGCAUGGAUGCCGUUUUGGACACGAAUGCCCCUGCGCGCGAACGUCCAUCCACGCCCAACCAGGAGUCGAACCUGCGACCAACAGCCUCGCAUCCCAGGAAGCUAACCAAUCGAGUUACGAAAACUAUCUGCCAAGAUUCCACGCGCAAACGUAUUUAAAAGGAGCAAAUCAGGAAACUAUCAUCUAAUUAAUCACUCCUUAGUUAUCACAAUCUUGUCCUAAACGUCUAUUAAAAUGGGUUUGGAGGGAGUACAACUGAACUCAAUGAAACAAUUGGUCAGGUUUGGUUGGAUCCUAGGGCUAUCUAGGGUGCUCCAACCACAGCCAGUAGUUGGAAAUACUUUGUUGAAUUAAUGAACCUGAUUACCUGAAGGUACGUACAAGCAUGUUCCAUUGAAGUGGAGAGUUAAUGUGAUUAGGUCUGAUUGGUGGAAUCAGGACUAGCGGCUACUACUCCAGUAGCUAGGGUUUUGAAAACGAGUCAUCUUGGGAACGUUGGAGCCAAUAGCUCCGGCCGGUGGCACCCCUUGACCCCUUGCUGGCGACAUAUAUGGCCGGGCCGCCCGGGCCAGCACCAGCACCAGCAUUGCAUGUGUUCCGGCCGCUGCCACAGUCAGCAGAGGUGUACGUACGUAAGACUGGCAGCUAGCAGACGAGGAGGUAGCAGCUAGCAGAAGUCGCAACUCGCAAGUUAAGGAUUUGUGCUGACUUCCAUGAAAGUGCACUUCCCCGAGAGAGAGAGAGAGCACCUACCUACCUAUGCUCAGGCCAGGUCCACCAGGUAGCAUGCAUGUUGAGGCCUUGUUUAGUUUCCAAUUUUUUUAAAAAUUCUUCAUCAUAUUAAAUCUUUGUAUGUAUACAUGAAACAUUAAAUAUAGACACAAAUAAAAACUAAUUAUACAGUUUACAUGUAAUUUGCAAGACAAAUCUUUUGAGCCUAGUUAGUUCAUAAUUAGAUAAUAAUUGUUAUAUACAAACGAAAGUGCUAUAAUAACCAAAGCCAAAAUUUUUCACGAACCGAACAAUAACUGAAUUGUUGACCUCACAACCAUGUGUAGAUAGAGGUUGUACUUGGGAAAAGAUUCAGCCCCGUUUUAGUUUGGUACAAUUUCAGCGGCUUCAAUUCUCUACUUCGGCAGAUGGGCUUUGUUUAGUUCCGAAAAGAUUUCGGAAUUCGGUACUGUAGUAUUUUUGUUUUUAUUUGAUAAAUAUUAUCCAUUCAUAACUAACUAGACUCAAAAGAUUCAUCUCGUGAUUUACACUGUGCAAUUAGUUUUUAUUUUCGUCUAUAUCUAAUGCUUCAUGCAUGUGCCCCAAAAUUCGAUGUGACGAAGAAUCUUGAAAAGUUUUUGGUUUUCGGGGUGAACUAAACAAGACCGUGGUUUGUAUCUCUCAUCAUUUUAAAAUGAACAAAGAGCCGUGCGCUAAAGCCACUAUUUAUGGCUUCACUCUCCACACACACACCGUGCCAAGAAGGUGAAGUUGUAUCAAAGGUGCCUCACGAGCUGGCUUUUAUCAUGGGACGGCCGUGGUGGCCUUACGUGUGUCGUCAAUUCAGAAUCAUCCAGAGCCUAGUUUUUCUUUUCAUAUGCUUCUCCUACAUUUACAGAAAGGCUAAACAUCAACCGGUUGUUUCUCUAGUUUUGGUCAACUGACUUUUGGAACUUUUGAUUUGGGCACGAUUUGACGCUGAGCUGAUUGUUGAUCGUCCAAUUUGAGCAUGGUUCAGAGCUGAGCUGAUUGAUGACGACUCACGUACGCGUGCCGACCAACCGUCGACGGGACAUUGCCACCGGAUGACGAGAUGGCUGGCAGUCUGCCACCGGGCGCCCUGCUAGGUGAGCAUGCACGCGUGCUCACCUUUGUUGCGCCGCUGCUCACGGUCCUCGUUGGUAAACACAGGUCUCUACUAGGUCUCCACCAGCAAUAGGGGGCCACUAGCAAGUUCUCCAGCGCUAGCGACCUCGAUCUAGGAGCCCACCUCGGUGCUUGACCAUUAGCACAGCCUCAACCCGAGAAUGCCAAUCUUGGCUUACACAUUGUCGUUGCCCUUGGGGCAGCGCCAUUGUUGGUGUGGCGUUAUUUGUGGGAGGAAGAUACAAUGACGACACGUGGUCAUGCAACGUGAGCUAUGCAUCACCAUGAAGGAAGAGAGGGCAAGAUCAGUCAGCUGCAGAUGAGCAGACAGAUCUUGUGGAGUAGUAGAGUUGAGGAAAAAUAUGAUAAGAGCAGCCAGUGGUGCUAAUCGCAAUCAUGAAAGAUGCGUCGUAGUGCUCUCGCCCAGAUAUAUGCUUCGACCUCCUCCUAGCUACCCACACUAAUGGCGCUAAUUGGGUGGUGCACUUGCCCACACUUUUACAAACCUGAACGACCAUGGAGAGGUAGUUGUUGGCAUUGUUGUUGCCGGGUCCAGGCAUCUCUAUGCCCUCAGUUCUCGCCCAACUUGUAUGUGUGACUAGGUUCAUGCAUUAGUCGCGGUAGGGCCGGCCUAGUCGGCAACGUAGAAGGCAUGGCCGGCUUCUGCGGGCACACGAGCACUUAUGCCAGCGUAUACCAUGUCGGCAAAGGAAAAAGUCUACUUUUAGGUCCCUUAACUUUCGCGAAAGUCUGAUUUUCAUCCUUGAACUCUAAAACCGGAUAAAAUACAUCCUUCAACUUUUAAACCGUGCACAUUAUAUCCUUGACCUGGUUUUGAAAGCGGUUUUAUCUUUUUCUUUUUAUUUAUGUUGGCUAAAUUUUUUUAAAAAACACAGUAAAUCACAUAAAAAUCAUAAAAUAGAAAACUCAAUUUUGUUAGACUUCAGAUCAGUAGAUCUACACAUUGAAUAUAUAAUAUAGUAUGUUCUAGUACAAAUUUUUUUAUGCAUCUUUAGAUCUAUGUUUUUCUGUAAUUAAUUAGACUAAUUAUAGCUACAUUUUCUAUGGUCUAAUUGUGAUGAAAUUUAUAUGGUGAGCUAAUUAUUCUAUGUUUGAGUUAUAGUAAAAAUUUUAUACUCAUUGAAUCAUGUAUUACUUAGUUAUAGAUUUAUUUAGGUUUAUGCUUGUUAAAUUAUAAUAAAUCUUAACUAAGUUAUACAUGAUCUAAUGAGUAUGAAUUUUUUACCAUAGUUUAAACAUAUAAUAAUUAGUCUAACAUAAAAAAUUCACCACAAUUGAACCAUACAAACUAUAGCUAUAAAUUAUUCUAAUUAAUUAUAGAAAAACAGUUCUAAAGCUACAAUAAAAAUUUUGUACUAAAGCAUACUAUAUUAUAUAUUCACUAUGUAGAUCUACUUAUCUGGAGUCCAACAAAAUUAGAUUUAUUAUUUUAUAAAUUUUAUAUGAUUUACUAUAAUUUUACAAAUAUUCAGCCAAAAUAAAUAAAAAUGAAAAAGACAAAACUGCCUUCAAAACCGCUCAUAACCAUGUCAGGGACGUAAUAUGCAUGGUUUCAAAAAUUGAGGGAUGUAUUUUACCCGGUUUGAAAGUUCAGGGAUGAAAAACAGACUUUUGCGAAAGUUGAGGGGACUUCUUCCGUCGGCAAAUGGGUCUAGCUUGGACCCAGACAUAAUGUAGUUCUAGUACACAUAAUAACUUCGACCCAUGACUUAGAGUGUUGUGCUAUUUAUUUGUGGGUGGAGCUAGAGUGUUCGUGUUUUAUUUUAUUUUAUUUUAAUUUUUUAUAAACGGGCGUUGGUUUGGUGGACCAGAGAAAGACGGGAUGAAUUGGGCCUUGUCGGCUACAUGCCUAUAUGGGCUUAGACGAUAUAUUUGGACCCACACAUUGUAGCCCAACUCAUGAUGUUUCUAUCCACAGAGCAAGCCCACAACAGACACCUUUGCCUCCGGUCAACCAGUCGAGCUUUGCCUCCGCGUUGACUGCGCACAAUAGGCAGUACCCCACCCAUCCCCACCGUCCGUCCCCCAUCCAACGUCCCACCUGCCCCCAAAUCCAUAGGCGGUUCCGCAUUGCGCUAUUGCCGUAUCCCCGCACCCAGUCCACAUACACCAACACAUCCUCCCCCACCGCCUCUACGUGUACCACCAUACACCGGCGCCCACGCGCCCGCCAGCCAAGCCAGCGCAGGAUAGCCUCCGCGGCGCACGCUACGUCUAUAAAUACACCCCUACCCCUUCCUCCCCGAGCCCUUUCCUCAGAGGCACCCUCAGGAUCCCCUUUCCCCUUCCUCCCAACUCGCGGAGGGCGGGGCGCGCGGAUCUGUCGGCCGGGGCCGAUCCAUCCAUCCAUCCAUUCGAUUCCACCGGGCGCGGCCGCCAAAAACACACUAGCUAAGCUCGACGCAGCGAGCGGUGCCGCGGGAGCGCCGGUGGCGGGGCGGCGCAGCGCGCAGCGAUUUGAAACCCUAGGUGGUGGUGGUGGUGGGCGGCGCCGCCGCCGGGUGUAGCCGAGAUGGACGCGAGGUUCCCGUACUCGCCGGCCGAGGUGGCCAAGGUCGAGCUCGUGCAGUUCGGCAUCCUCAGCCCCGACGAGAUCGUAAUACCCCUCGCACCCCCCCUCCCCUCCCUGCUUUUGUCGUUCGAGCGGGUCGAGGGUUGAGUUGAGUGGUCAGCUUAGUGUAGCUGGACAAUGGCUGUUUGCUAGUUUACCAGUACCAACUCGUUUCUGAUGUCAGGAUUCUAGUUCAGGGCAUGAUUUCGUGUAAUUCAUGCUGGGUUUGAGUGUCUUGAGCUUCACUAUCGGCUUGCCUGGUUGGUCUUGGUGAAUUCAAGCAAUUCGAGUGUAGUACAACUGUGCAGACCUUAAUUCCCUAAAAUUUAGCAUCAUUAGGAAAAAAGAAGAAGAUGUAUUGCUGCUUGAAACCUGGAACUAUGUAUAUACGCCGCUGCUGGAACUUUGGAAAGUAUUACACAUAGAGGGAAUAUAUGGUUGAGUUUGAACUUGGCCUUUCUACUUGGUACAUAAGUUUCGAGGUGAUAUGAUGAAUUAAUGUGAUGUUGUGAUCCACACAGUGCAUGAGAGAGCUUCAACCUGGUUGUGUGCUUUUACAAUUUGGGCACAUCUGUAUGUUCUUAAGUGACCUAAUCUGUUUCGUGUAGUAUGGUUCUGAUUCUGUCGAGUUCAACUUCAACUGAAACAGUUGUGUGUUCCAUACGAACAUAACGGAAAUUCCAUGUCAGUUAGUAACAAGAUGACAUUGCUCCUGAGUUUGUUUAACCGUAUAAUUUAUUGUGCUGAAUAGUAAUGCUUUCAUUAAAAGGUUAUUCUACUUUGUUUGUAUGAAACAGUGUGUGUUCCGUACGUGCAUAACGGAAAUUCCAUCUUCCAUGUCAGUUAGUAACAAGAUGACAUUGCUCCUGAGUUUGUUUAACCGGAUAAUUUAUUGUGCCGAAUAAUAAUGCUUCCAUUAAAAGGUUAUUCUGCUUUGUUUGUAUGAAACAGUUGUGUGUUCCGUACGUGCAUAACGGAAAUUCCAUAACAAGAUGAUGUUGCUCCUGAGUUUGUUUAACUGUAUAAUUAAUAAUUUAUUGCGCUGAAUAGUAACGCUUUCAUUAAAAGGUUAUUCUGCUUUGUUUCUAUGCGGUGAGUGAGGAACUGUUUCCAGGGAUAGGAACUAAUGACUAUUGAUUUCUUUUUGCUUUUGUGUAGAGACAAAUGUCGGUGGUUCAAAUAGAACAUGCAGAGACCAUGGAGAGGGGAAAACCGAAGCCUGGUGGGCUCAGUGACCCUCGAUUGGGGACUAUCGACCGGAAAAUUAAGUGCGAGACAUGCAUGGCAGGGAUGGCAGAGUGCCCAGGCCACUUUGGGCACCUUGAGCUUGCCAAGCCGAUGUUCCACAUCGGAUUCAUUAAGACUGUGCUCUCCAUCAUGCGCUGUGUUUGCUUUAACUGCUCCAAGAUCCUUGCGGAUGAGGUAUCCUUUGGCUCAGUUGUUGCUUGAUAUGUGUGUAUAUAUUGCUAUACUGGAAGGAGUUGUCAUUUUAAAUCGAGGCGUGAUAAACUGAAAAUGGAAGUGUUCUAACCAUUCAAUACCUAUGAAAAGUACAGUUGCCCCAUUUACUCUACUCAGCGUUGUUCACGUUAGCACCUUUUCUCACUAGCCAUUAACUUUUUGAGGUAUCAUUAUAGCAUGUAAACUGCGAUUAUUUUACUUUUCCUUUACCAUCCUAUGACCUAAUAUGUCUUCAUGGUUUGUUCUAACAUGUUUGAUGAAGCUUAUAAGCUUAUGUGUGUAUAUUUUGUAUUCAUUGCAUUAUUCCUAUAGUGAUGAGGACUGUGGAACUCGACCAAACACCAAGUUUUGAGUCUUUUUCAUGAGCUCUGGUUCAAGUGUUCAGAGACAUUUGACCACUUAAUUAGAUGCUUAUAAUGUUUAGCAUUUGUGUUUCCAAAGCAAAUUAACUUCACAUUUAAUCACCAUUUAUCCAUUUUUUUAUCUUGCAGGAUGAAACCAAAUUUAAGCAGGCUCUAAAAAUCAGGAAUCCAAAGAAUAGAUUGAAGAGAAUAUAUGAUGCUUGCAAGAGCAAAAAAGUCUGUGCAGGUGGCGAUGACCUUGAUGUUCAGGAGCAGGAUACUGACGAGCCUGUUAAGAAAAGAGGUGGCUGUGGUGCUCAGCAGCCAAAUAUUACAGUAGAUGGUAUGAAGAUGGUCGCAGAGUUUAAAGCUCCAAAGAAGAAAAGUGAUGAUCAGGAUCAACUCCCUGAGCCAGUGGAACGCAAGCAAAUCCUUUCAGCUGAGAGGGUAUUUCUAUAAUCACUAUUCAGCUUAUGCUACUGCUUGUAAUUGGUUUCUUACAUGGCUUGUUUGACCAGGUCCUUAAUGUUCUAAAGCGUAUAAGCGAUGAGGACUGUCUUCUGUUGGGCCUGAAUCCCAAAUAUGCCCGUCCUGAUUGGAUGAUACUUCAAGUUCUUCCAGUCCCUCCACCCCCUGUUAGACCAUCUGUCAUGAUGGACACUUCUUCCAGAAGUGAGGUAAGUCUAAUACCAAUAUACUCCCUCCGUUCCAAAAUAAACUGCUUUGUAGAAAUUUUCAGAUAGAUUAAGAAUGCUGGCAAAAGACACGUAUAUCCUCACCUCCUUUCCUUUCCUUUCCCAUAGGAUAUCUCCUGACUUUGGUAGUUAUCAUUUGCAUGCACCCAUGAUUAAUUUCUGCAUUAGGAGUCAAUGUCCCAUGUUUUUGUAGAAUGCUAUUUUUUGGGACAAAUUUUAAACCUCAAAAAGUCAUUUAUUUUGGGACAGAGGGGAGUAGAAUUAUUUUGUGUCUAAUUUUGCAUGGAUGGAGAAGUGCAACCUUGUUGCUCACUGAUACUUUUAAUAAAUAUGUUUAAGGGGCUACUACUUCAGUCCCUGUUGUAAAGAAGGUAUUUAUUUCACAGCUCCUCACUGUGAUUCUUCAUUGCCUUUUUGCUGUUUCUGCAGGAUGAUUUGACUCAUCAGUUAGCUAUGAUAAUACGGCAUAAUGAGAACUUGAGGAGGCAAGAGAGAAAUGGUGCUCCAGCUCACAUUAUAACAGAGUUUGCUCAGUUGUUGCAAUUUCAUAUUGCAACAUACUUUGAUAAUGAACUUCCUGGCCAACCCAGGGUGAGUGGUUUAGAAUGUUACUUUGCAUGUAUAAAACCUAUGGAUAUCAGGAUAAUUUUGAUUGAUCGUUUUUUUCUAUGCUCAGGCCACGCAGCGUUCUGGAAGGCCUAUUAAAUCAAUUUGCAGCAGGCUGAAAGCUAAAGAAGGCCGAAUUAGAGGAAACUUGAUGGGCAAGCGUGUUGAUUUCUCGGCACGUACUGUUAUUACACCAGAUCCAAACAUAAACAUUGAUGAGUUGGGAGUACCAUGGAGCAUUGCUUUGAACCUGACAUAUCCUGAAACUGUCACUCCAUAUAAUAUUGAGAGGUGAUUCAGUUUGUUUUUAUUGACAACUGUUAUUUAAUUACUGUGCUUUUGCUGAUCAUUUGCAGCUAAAUCCAAUGAUUUCAGGUUGAAGGAACUUGUUGAAUAUGGGCCUCACCCUCCCCCAGGGAAGACCGGUGCAAAGUACAUUAUCAGGGAAGAUGGUCAGAGGCUUGAUCUUCGAUAUGUGAAGAAAAGCAGCGAUCAGCAUCUGGAGCUUGGUUACAAGGUAUCAACCUCCCUAUGACUGUAGAAGCUCAUUUGCAGCUAAAAUUGUUUUAUGUUUUGACUCAUUUUGUGCCGGAUUUCCUCAGGUGGAAAGACAUCUCAAUGAUGGGGAUUUUGUUCUUUUCAAUCGGCAACCAAGUCUUCAUAAAAUGUCUAUCAUGGGGCAUCGCAUCAAAAUUAUGCCCUACUCAACUUUCCGGUUGAACUUGUCUGUCACUUCACCAUACAAUGCUGACUUUGAUGGUGAUGAGAUGAAUAUGCAUGUGCCCCAGUCAUUUGAGACCAGGGCAGAAGUUCUGGAGUUAAUGAUGGUGCCAAAAUGCAUUGUCUCUCCACAAUCAAAUAGGCCUGUCAUGGGUAUUGUCCAAGACACACUGCUUGGUUGUCGCAAAAUUACUAAAAGGGACACUCUAAUUGAAAAGGUGAAUAAAAAUAAAUUUCACUUGUCCUUUCCAAUUGUAUUCUGUUCAGUUUUGUGGCUCAUUUAAAUUUCAUUCCAGGAUGUAUUUAUGAACAUCUUGAUGUGGUGGCAAGACUUUGAUGGAAAGAUUCCUGCACCUGCCAUUUUGAAACCUAGGCCUAUUUGGACUGGGAAACAAGUUUUUAACUUAAUUAUCCCCAAGCAAAUAAAUUUAAUACGGUUUUCAGCAUGGCAUUCGGAAGAAGAAAAGGGAUUUAUUACUCCUGGUGAUACUAUGGUCAGGAUAGAGAAGGGAGAGCUUCUGUCUGGUACACUUUGCAAGAAGAGUCUUGGAACAGGCACUGGAAGUCUUAUCCAUAUCAUUUGGUAAUUAUGCCUAAUCUGAAUUUUACUUGUUGAAAGUUGCAUGACAAUGAGAAAUAUUGCCUGUUUCCAUUUUUCUAAGCAAAUCCUGUUUUGACUUUGUUCUUUUCAGGGAAGAGGUUGGUCCUGAUGCUGCCCGGAAGUUCUUAGGACAUACACAGUGGCUUGUAAACUACUGGCUUCUUCAAAAUGGUUUCAGUAUUGGAAUUGGGGAUACCAUUGCAGAUGCUUCCACCAUGCAAACGAUUAAUGACACAAUUUGUAAAGCAAAGGAUGAGGUGAAGGAGCUUAUUAAAAAAGCACAUGAGAAGCAGUUGGAAGCUGAGCCAGGACGCACCAUGAUGGAGUCAUUUGAAAACAGAGUGAACCAGGUACCGAUUGCUUCUGUUUUGCUUUCAUUAUUAUAUACUCCCUCCAACCCAAAUUUUAAGUCAUUCCAAGAAUCUUGGAGAGUCAAAGCAUCUCAAGUUUGACCAAAAUUAUAGAAAAAAUUACAAAGUUUUGAGGCAUCAAAUAGAUAUACUAUAAAAAUAUAAUUAAUGAAGAACCUAAUGAUACUCAGUUGAUAUCAUAAAUGUUAUUAUCCUACUAUAUAAAUUUGGUCAAACUUGAGGUGCUUUGAUUCUUCAAGAUUCUUGGAAUGACUUAUAAUUUGGGAUGGAGGGAGUAUCCUUUGUUUAUGUCAUUCAGGGCAAUAUUCAGCGUUUAGGUCGAGUUGUUUUAACCUCAAUACAAUCCCUUUCUGUUCAGGUUCUUAACAAAGCUCGUGAUGAUGCUGGGAGCAGUGCUCAGAAGAGCUUGUCUGAAAGCAACAAUUUGAAGGCUAUGGUCACUGCAGGCUCAAAAGGAAGUUUCAUUAACAUUUCACAAAUGACUGCUUGUGUGGGACAGCAGAAUGUUGAGGGCAAGCGGAUCCCUUUUGGUUUCAUUGAUCGGACGUUGCCACAUUUCACAAAAGAUGAUUAUGGUCCUGAAAGUCGUGGAUUUGUGGAAAAUUCUUACCUCCGAGGUCUGACACCACAAGAAUUUUUCUUUCACGCUAUGGGUGGUAGAGAAGGUCUUAUAGAUACUGCUGUGAAGACCUCUGAGACAGGGUAUAUCCAGAGGAGACUUGUGAAAGCUAUGGAGGACAUCAUGGUUAAAUACGAUGGUACUGUAAGAAAUUCUCUGGGAGAUGUCAUUCAGUUCUUGUAUGGGGAAGAUGGCAUGGAUGCUGUUUGGAUUGAAUCUCAAAAAUUGGACUCAUUGAAGAUGAAGAAGCCUGAGUUUGAUAAUUUGUUCCGUUAUGAGCUGGAUGACGAGAACUGGAGACCUAACUACAUGCUACCAGAACAUGUUGACGAUUUGAAGACCAUACGUGAAUUUAGAAAUGUGUUUGAGGCAGAGGUUCAAAAGCUAGAAGCUGAUCGGUACCAGCUUGGGACUGAGAUUGCCACAACUGGUGACAAUUCAUGGCCUAUGCCUGUGAAUCUCAAGCGGCUCAUCUGGAAUGCUCAGAAGACAUUCAGGAUUGAUUUUAGAAGACCUUCUGACAUGCACCCUAUGGAAAUUGUAGAAGCGGUAGAUAAACUGCAAGAAAGACUUAAGGUUGUACCUGGUGAUGAUCCCAUGAGCAUUGAGGCUCAGAAGAAUGCAACCUUGUUCUUUAAUAUCCUGCUUCGUAGCACGUUUGCUAGCAAGAGGGUCUUGAAGGAAUACAGGCUUACAAAGGAAGCUUUUGAAUGGGUUAUCGGUGAGAUUGAAUCGAGGUUUCUUCAGUCUUUGGUGGCCCCUGGUGAGAUGAUUGGAUGUGUGGCUGCACAAUCAAUUGGAGAACCAGCAACACAGAUGACCCUAAAUACCUUCCAUUAUGCUGGUGUCAGUGCCAAGAAUGUCACCCUUGGAGUUCCCAGGUUGAGGGAGAUCAUUAAUGUUGCCAAGAAGAUAAAGACUCCAUCUUUGUCUGUUUACCUGAAGCCUGAGGUGAACCAGAAGAAAGAAUUGGCUAAGAAUGUCCAGUGUGCUUUGGAGUACACCACACUGCGUAGUGUUACCCACGCCACAGAGAUAUGGUAUGAUCCUGAUCCGCUAGGAACCAUCAUCGAAGAGGAUGCAGAGUUUGUUCAGUCCUAUUACGAAAUGCCUGAUGAGGAUAUUGACCCGGAUAAAAUUUCUCCUUGGCUGCUGCGUAUUGAGCUUAAUCGUGAGAUGAUGGUUGAUAAGAAGUUGAGCAUGGCUGAUAUUGCCGACAAGAUUAACCGUGAGUUUGAUGAUGACUUAUCAUGCAUUUUCAAUGAUGAUAAUGCGGAUAAGCUCAUCCUCCGUAUCCGCAUCACAAAUGAUGAAGCUCCAAAAGGAGAAAUACAAGAUGAGUCUGCUGAGGAUGAUGUCUUCCUAAAAAAGAUAGAGGGUAAUAUGUUGACAGAGAUGGCGCUUCGAGGCAUUCCAGAUAUCAACAAAGUGUUCAUCAAAGAAGGGAAGGUCAAUACUUUUUAUCAAGACGAAGGUUUCAAAGCAGCCAAUGAAUGGAUGCUCGAUACAGAAGGUGUGAAUCUCUUAGCUGUCAUGUGUCAUGAGGAUGUUGAUGCUACAAGGACAACAAGUAACCAUCUGAUUGAAGUGAUUGAGGUACUUGGAAUUGAGGCUGUCCGUCGAUCUCUCUUGGAUGAGCUUCGGGUGGUGAUAUCUUUCGAUGGAUCCUAUGUGAACUACAGGCAUCUGGCCAUUCUUUGUGAUACAAUGACAUACAGAGGUCACCUAAUGGCGAUUACAAGGCAUGGUAUCAACCGCAAUGACACUGGGCCUCUUAUGAGAUGUUCCUUUGAAGAGACUGUUGACAUCUUACUUGAUGCUGCUGUAUAUGCUGAAUCUGACCACCUGAGAGGUGUCACUGAAAACAUAAUGCUUGGUCAGCUUGCUCCUAUUGGUACUGGAGGCUGUGCGCUAUAUCUGAAUGACCAGAUGUUGCAGCAGGCAAUUGAACUUCAACUUCCAAGCUAUGUGGAAGGCCUGGACUUCGGCAUGACACCAGCACGAUCACCCAUCUCUGGGACACCUUACCAUGAAGGAAUGAUGUCCCCAAGUUAUCUGCUGAGUCCAAACAUCAGGGCUUCCCCCAUUAAUACAGAUGCUUCGUUCUCACCAUAUGUUGGGCACAUGGCAUUCUCACCAUUCCCUUCACCAGGUGGUUACUCUCCAUCGUCAGGGGGAUACAGUCCAUCUUCUCCUGUUUUCACCCCAGAGAAAGGAUAUAGCCCUCUUUCUCCAUCAUACAGCCCUGCAUCGCCAAGCUAUAGUCCCACCUCACCAUCAUAUACACCUGGCUCUCCCACCUACAGUCCCACAAGCCCGAAUUACUCCCCAACAAGUCCGACUUACUCGCCUACCAGUCCAUCAUACUCACCCACAUCUCCGAGUUACAGCCCAACAUCUCCUAGCUACAGUCCUACAUCACCAAGCUACAGCCCUACAUCUCCUAGUUAUAGUCCUACAUCACCAAGUUACAGCCCCACCUCACCAGUUUAUAGCCCUACAUCUCCAGCAUACAGCCCUACAUCUCCCGCAUAUAGCCCCACAUCACCAUCUUACAGUCCAACUUCGCCAUCUUAUAGCCCUACAUCACCAUCAUACAGCCCAACAUCCCCCUCAUACAGCCCUACCUCCCCCUCAUACAGCCCUACCUCCCCCUCAUACAGCCCUACCUCCCCCUCGUACAGCCCAACAUCACCUGCAUACAGCCCUACUUCGCCAGGAUACAGCCCAACAUCACCGAGCUACAGUCCUACUUCUCCGAGCUACAGUCCUACUUCUCCGAGCUACAAUCCUUCAUCAGCCAAGUACAGCCCUUCGCAUGCAUACUCUCCAAGCAGCCCCCGGAUGACUCCAUAUAGUCAGAC